rnacentral:piRNA from 1 species
UGCUAAGUAAGGUUGCUGAGACCAGGU